rnacentral:lncRNA from 12 species
UGAAGAAACUGAGGGGAAAAAAAAGAGAUAAAGUAACUUUCUUAGAUUUGUAGACUAAUAAAACAUCAAGAAAUUUCUCAAGAGGGGAUCCCUGGGUGGCUCAGCGGUUUAGCGCCUGCCUUUGGCCCAGGGCGUGAUCGAGUCCCACAUCCAGCUCCCUGCAAGGAGCCUGCUUCUCCCUCUGCCUGUGUCUCUGCCUCUCUCUCUCUCUCUGUGUCUCUCAUGAAAAAAUAAACAAAAUCUUAAAAAAAAAAAAAGAAAGAAAAUUCUCAAGACAAAAACCUAGAGAGCAUCCUUGCUGCUUCUUUUACUUUCAUACCUGACAUCCAGUUCUUCAGCAAUUUCUAAUGAAUAUGGCACCAAAACGUAUACCAAAUGUGUCCAUUUCUCUCCAUCUCUACCUCUACCUCUAGGCCCAGGGCAAGCUUCAGUUAAUAUGAACAACCCCAACAUUUCUAACUAGUUUUUUUGUUCCAAUUGCUCCCUGAUAUGGCUUGAAUUGUGCCUCCUGAAAGCUGCCCUGUUGAAGGACCAACCCUCAGCACCUCAGAAUGACUCUAUUUGGGGGUCUCUCUAAAGAUACCGUCCAAGGAAAGCCUGCAUUCUCAACAACUUGCAACACUGUCCUUAUCAGGUUUCCCAGAGUUAGUUCCUGGGUAAACCCAUCCAGCACCUGCUGAGCUGAAGCAUUUGAUACGCAAAUUCCAAUAGCAUGAGUCCAAGAUCUCCCUCCCCAAGAGGAUGAGAAUGUUUACCUUAAGAUGAAAGAAUGCUCUCUCACUUGUACCUUUUCCAUCUCAAGUUUAGAGUGAGGAUGAAGCUGGAAGGUUUGAGUGUUCAUCUGGAAUGUAAGCUUUGGUGAUGGCUUCCUUCCCCUUCCUCCUCUUCCCUUCCUCCUUAUUUUACUUCUCCUUUUUCUUCUCUUUCUUCCUCACCAAGGACAAUACGUAACCUAACCUGCAGCAACAGACAUAAACAAAGUUGAUAAGUAAUUGAAUUUUUACAAACAACCUAAAUAGACUAUUAAAAAAAAAAGUCAACAGUUUUGCUCAAAAUCCU